rnacentral:rRNA from 1 species
UACGAGGGGGGCGAGCGUUGUUCGGAAUUACUGGGCGUAAAGGGCGCGUAGGCGGUUCGACAAGUUGGAUGUGAAAGCCCAGGGCUCAACCCUGGAAUUGCAUUCAAGACUGUUUUACUUGAAUUCGGUAGAGGUGAGUGGAAUUCCCAGUGUAGAGGUGAAAUUCGUAGAGAUUGGGAAGAACACCGGUGGCGAAGGCGGCUCACUGGACCGACAUUGACGCUGAGGCGCGAAAGCGUGGGGAGCAAACAGG